CUCAGGACGAACGUGGCGGCAUGCCUAUACAUGCAAGUCGAGCGGAGUUUUGAGAAGCUUGCUUCUCUGAUGCUUAGCGGCGGACGGGUGAGUAACACGUAGGCAAGAUGCCCUCAAUCUUGGGACAACUACCGGAAACGGUAUCUAAUAUCGAAUACUUGCUUUGUUUGUAUGAAGGAAGCUGGAAAGACGGAGCAAUCUGUCACUUGAGGAUGGGCUUGCGGCGCAUUAGCUAGUUGGUGAGGUAACGGCUCACCAAGGCGUCGAUGCGUAGCCGACCUGAGAGGGUGAUCGGCCACACUGGGAUUGAGACACGCCCCAGAAUCGUGCGGGAGGCAGCAGUAGUGAAUGUUGCGCAAUGGGCGAANNCCUGACGGAGCAAUGCCGCGUGAGUGAUGAAGGUYUUCGGAUCGUAAAGCUCUGUUGCCAGGGAAGAACGUCCUUGMGAGUAACUGCUCAAGGAGUGACGGUACCUGAGAAGAAAGCCCCGGCUAACUACGUGCCAGCAGCCGCGGUAAUACGUARGGGGCAAGCGUUGUCCGGAAUUAUUGGGCGUAAAGCGCGYGCAGGCRGUCAUUUAAGUCUGGUGUUUAAUCCCGGGGCUCAACCCCGGAUCGCACUGGAAACUGGAUGACUUGAGUGCAGAAGAGGAGAGUGGAAUUCCACGUGUAGCGGUGAAAUGCGUAGAGAUGUGGAGGAACACCAGUGGCGAARGCGACUCUCUGGRCUGUAACUGACGCURAGGCGCGAAAGCGUGGGGAGCAAACAGGAUUAGAUACCCUGGUAGUCCACGCCKUARACGAUGAAUGCUAGGUGUUAGGGGUUUCGAUACCCUUGKUGCCGMAAGUAACGCAUUAAACAUUCCGCCUGGGGAGUACCGUCGCAAGACUGAAACUCACAGGAAUUGACGGGAACCCGCACAAUCAGUGGAGUAUGUGGUUUAAAUCUUAGCAACGCUUAAAAUCUUACAAAGUCUUGACAUCCUUCUGACCGCUCUAGACAUACGUCUUUCCUUCGGGACAGAUUAUACACGUGUCGCAUGGUUGUCGUCAGCUCGUGUCGUGAGAUGUUGGGUUAACUCCCGCAACGAUCGCAACCCUUGAUCUUAGUUGCCACCACUUCUGGUGGGCACUCUAACGUGAAUGACGGUGACAAACCGGACGAAGGUGGGGAUGACGUCGAAUCAGUCAUGCCCCUUAUGACCUGUGCUACGCACGUACUACAAUGGCCGGUACAACGUGCAGUGAACCCGCGAGGUGGAACGAAUCUCAGAAAGCCGGUCUCAAUUCGGAUUGCAGGCUGCAAAUCCCCUGCAUGAACUCGAAAUGCUAGUAAUCGCGGAU
rnacentral:rRNA from 1 species